GCUGGGCAUGGUGGUGCAUGCCUGUAAUCCCAGCCACUUGGGAGGCUGAGGCAGGAGAAUCGCUUGAACCCAGGAGGCAGAGGUUGCAGUGAGCUGAGAUUGUGCCACUGCACUCCAGCCUGGGUGACAGAGUGAGACUCUGCCUCAA
rnacentral:SRP_RNA from 1 species